ACCGCUUUGACUCGAUCUAGAAAAAUCCCGCUGAUCUCCAUCUUCUUCCUAGCUCCCCACGUUUUUUUCAUCUCUUUCCCACCUUUUGUUGCAAUCUCCAGUUUCCCACCAGUCCAUCCACGUCUCCACCUCCUCCACCCUCCAUAACCUCUUAGUAUCCAGCUGCCCGCCAACAAAAGCCGAUUGCCCGCAAAGGCCGCCCAAGUCACUGAUCGAGGCCACGCAUGACACCAUCGUCGCAGGGCAGCAGGAGGAGAUGGCCCGGAAUCAUACUGUGGUUGAGGAGCUCCGACGAAUCGCCGGACGCCGGCAGUGGCCGGGAUGAGCUCCGGCGGAUCCUGCUGGAGUUGGCCGCGGGCGUGGCGCCAAGGACGCGCUGGAGCCGUGGAGCGGCCGGUGCUUCUCUGGAGCCAGCCGCCGCUCUCUGCAGAUGGCAGAGGGCGAGCCCAUCGACGGAGUGUUCUGGCCUCUGGCGCCUUGCUCGCUGCUGCUUCACGCCAUGGAGGUUGCAAUUGCAACCGGUGUAGUCGCGGCGGCGCCCUCUCCAGAUUAUAUUUCGCCCCUGCCUUUCCUCUCCGAUGGGUGGGCUCUUUUUUUUCAGUUUAUUUUCUCUUUGCCAUGACUCAGAUGCAUUUAAUUACCUGCCGACGCAGGUAACUGGAUGCUGCUGUGCUCUAAUACGAUGCAGUCCAGGCACAAGAACUUCCUAGCGGCGUGCCGGAUGUUCCGCCCGCCACCGACACAGCCAGGUACCCAUCCUUUCCAUUUCCUAGAUCUGGUCAUCUCUCCCAAAAUUGAUUGAUACAGGCUGUAUCAUGUUCAGAGACUGUACCGGAACGAAUUACUUAAGCACAAUAUUCAGUAGAUUAUCCGUUAUAAUCAAAGCAUUAGCAUCGAAAAGGCCAAACUACUCUCUUCCGUACAUUGUGUAGCCAAACUGAAAUCCGUGUGCAAUUCUUAUCGUGUGUGUUCUUGACUUUACACCAUCUCAGUGAAGCACAGGACAAUAAAAUAGCCACUUACUCCAACUGCUUCUUUGUUUCAAAUGUGUAUCAUUUAGGUCAUGAACCAGUCCUACGAUUUUAUCUUUAAAACAUGAUCAGUCAUAUAGUGACCAAUUUUCAGCAAUUACCAGCCCUGCUUUCUGAACCUAUAGUUGCUUCAACCUCUUCGUAGUUGACAGGCAAUCUGGCACACUCCUAAAGCCCGAUUACUAUAUAUACACUAUCGGUAGCCAAGGAGUAAUGAACUAAUCCAUACCUAAACUUCAUGUUAUUCCAUAUUGACGAUCAUUUUCCUGUUGAUUAUCUUCAGGAGAUGAACAAUAACUCUCUUUUUGUUGAAUGUGAGCUGACCAGUGGCCUCUCUUCCAUGAAUUUCAGCUGAUCAAUAUCUAGGAAUAUUUGUGAUCGCUUAUAGGAACAACAGAUGCUUCAUCAGUCACAAUGACAACCUCCAGCCCAUGUGCGAUGGUGAUGGAGUUCAUGUCAGAACUUCUCUUCAGCUGCUCUGACUUUCUCUCGCAACCUCAUUGCCAGACACUUGCAACCGGUAAUUGUGGCCUCAUCUCUUCCGUGAGAUUAUUUCCAUAGUGAAGGUUCUUGCUCCACUAUGGAUUAUUUUUAUCCCGUGGCAUCGACAUGUGUUUUUUUUUAAAUUCUCGGUGUGUCUUGAUGGCGGCUUUGUGUAUUUGUCUUAUAGGAUAUCCCACGAUGAUUGGGAACAGUUUUAACCAAAAUAAGAUCAUUCGAUCAGGUGAACGCAGUAGUCUGUUUAUCUUACAAAUGAAGUGGACGAGAGCAUAAAUCUCAUUUGGUGGUGUGUGUGAUCUUAUGUAUCAUUAUCUAACUCAUUUUUGUUGUUGUGGUUUAUAGCCUUCACAGGCUCCUGGGCGAUUUAUGCUGUCUUGCAUGUGGUUCGCCAUCUGUUUGCUUCGGCUGCCACUCCUGUUGGUGGUUCUUCAUUGUUUACUUUCUUCCUCCUGUUCUAUAUGUUUUUUGUCUGUGGAUGCUUGGAGGGGAGAUUUUUUUGAGCGAGCGGACCGUUUGUUGUUCUGAUGAUUCUCCACGUCAUGUCACUUCUUCUGGUCCAUCUCAGUCUGCGACGCUUGGUGUUAGUGUAUUAUGUUUGGUUGACUCCUCCGAGCAUAUUGAAACCUCCUUCCAAACAUGCUGAUGUUACAUAUACCCUCCAUCAAGUGUGUUCUUCCAUGUAAGCAACAUAGAUGUACAGUCCUAUAGGUGCUAUGCUGCAGUGUUCCGCACAUAAUAUUUGUGUGUUGGUUCCUUCUAUAAGUAAGAAUUCUUCAACUCUCUCUACUUUAUUUUCUUUUCCCCAAUUCAAGUUUAUUAUUUAUCAAUUCUUUUGAUUGAUAUGGCAAGAUUUCUACAACGAUAAGAUCAAAUUAGCUGUUUCAUUGCUACUGCAAUACUACGUAUUCAUUCUCUGGAAUCAUGUAAAUAUUUGAGUUUAUAUGCCUUUUCCUGCAUUUAGUUCUUCCACUUUGCUUGCUUUGUAACCAUGACUUCAAAUCUACAUUUCUAAUUCUCUCUUCCCUUUUUGGUGCACCAAUAGAUGUCCCUAUCGGUUUUCGGUAGCCGACACACUGGUUCAUCUAAAGAGUAUAACUGUUGAUCAUCUAAUGUGUGGAGAUGUUGAAUCGUGCAGACAAUGCUAUCUCCAAGUGCACUAGACUAGACCCGUCUGAGUUCACAUGUAUCGUCUGUUUUUAGAAGAUUAUACGAAUAUUAGAUUUAUAUCAAAGUUCUCGAAAUGACACAGCUGAAGGUUCAUCUUCACAAAAUGCACCGGCAUUUCUGUUUCUCAAUAAAUACACUGUUUUUGUGGACAAGGCUGAGUAUCUUCAGCAGAUAACUAAAAGUUAUAGGUAUGAAACCGCGCCUACUGCAUCUACAAUUUGUAUAAUUUAUCAUGCUGAAUGCUAUAUUUCGCCAAAGUUGCUUGAUCUGGGUGCUAUUCAGUAAUAUUUGGUCUUGGACCGCUAACCUGAUACUUUGCACACCUGUAGUCUUAGUUUGAUGCGGGUGUCGAGUACACCACAUAUAAGCUCACUACAUGGUGCAUUGGCACCGAGGUCAUAGCAGCUGCCCUAUGCAUUAAAGUGUUAGUAUUACAUUUUGCAGAUUUAGCUCAAGUCUACAAGGAGGGGAACUGCAAAUCUUCAGUACUUUGCUGUAUCCAUAGAAGUUGAUACAUUGCUAGAUGAAGCGUACUCUCUUUUGGUGGGAUUGUAAUAAGUUGUUGGGACCAAAUGGUAGCGUGAUUUGUCACUUUCAUGUUCUUUAGUCUGUGUUGCUCCAUAGUUGUGAUCAGUUUGCUCUCUACCAUGUUGUUUUCAUCAAUUUAGUUAGCAUGUAUGUACUGUUUUUGAACGUAUAUAUAUGUCCAGUGACAGAUUCUAAUCUC